UACGUAGGGUGCAAGCGUUGUCCGGAAUUAUUGGGCGUAAAGAGCUCGUAGGCGGUUUGUCGCGUCUGCUGUGAAAACUCAGGGCUUAACUCUGAGCUUGCAGUGGGUACGGGCAGACUAGAGUGCAGAAGGGGCAACUGGAAUUCUCGGUGUAGCGGUGAAAUGCGUAGAUAUCGAGAGGAACACCUGCGGCGAAGGCGGGUUGCUGGGCUGACACUGACGCUGAAGCGCGAAAGCUAGGGGAGCGAACGGG
rnacentral:rRNA from 1 species